GGGCGGAAGAGUAGUUGGCUGGGUAGAAGUAAAGGCGGAGGUACUUACGACCGGCGCCGAGGGGGAAGGAGUAGGUGAAGGGAGAGGUGAAUAUGCGGGCGGUGAGGUAGGGGACCUGGGGGGCGUCAUCCUGGGAGGUGGCGGUGGGGCCAGCGGCGGAGAGGGAGGGGGCGUACUUCGAUCGGACGUCGCCAUACCAGAUCCGGUUAUCGGUGUCGUUGGCCUGCCCGUUGGCGCCGCAGUUGAGGAGGAUGUAGUCGCGGGGGUCGUAGGGGAGGUCGUAGGAGGGAGGGGUUGCGCUGGGACUGGGCGCCGCCGCAGCGGCGGCGGCGACGGCUAAUAACAAGAUAAUGAAUAAACAAGACUGAGAUCUAGGGUUCCCCAUGAGGAACCGAUCGCUGAUUUCAGAUUUUUGGAAUUUCAGUCCAUUAGCGGAGAUCUCGACCAGAAUUUUGGGGGAGAAAGAUUGGAGGCGGAUGGGAACUGUGGAAAUGGG
rnacentral:misc_RNA from 1 species